rnacentral:rRNA from 1 species
UGGGAACGUACCCUUCGGUUCGGAACAACCCAGGGAAACUUGGGCUAAUACCGAAUACGUCCGUAAGGAGAAAGAUUUAUCGCUGAAGGAUCGGCCCGCGUCUGAUUAGCUAGUUGGUGGGGUAAUGGCCUACCAAGGCUAAGACGCGUAGCUGGUCUGAGAGGAUGAUCAGCCACACUGGGACUGAGACACGGCCCAGACUCCUACGGGAGGCAG